UGAGGAACAUGACUUUCGGCGGGGGAUAGCCGGCCCAACGGCCGGGUAAUACCGCGUACGACCUUUUGGGGACAUCCCUGAUUGGUGAAAGCAGCAAUGCGCCGAAAGAGUGCCUCGCGGCCUAUCAGCUAGUUGGUGGGGUAAUGGCUCACCAAGGCAACGACGGGUAGCUGGU
rnacentral:rRNA from 1 species